GUCCACGCCGUAAACGAUGCGUGCUAGACGUUGGGGGCAUGCCCUUCGGUGUCGCAGCUAACGCGGGAAGCACGCCGCCUGGGGAGUACGGUCGCAAGAUUAAAACUCAAAGGAAUUGACGGGUGCCCGCACAAGCGGUGGAGCAUGUGGUUUAAUUCGAAGCAACGCGCAGAACCUUACCAGCCCUUGACAUGGGGCGUGCGGCCUCGGGAGACCGGGGCCAUCAGUUCGGCUGGCGCCCACACAGGUGCUGCAUGGCUGUCGU
rnacentral:rRNA from 1 species